rnacentral:rRNA from 1 species
AAGUCUGGUGCCAGCAGCCGCGGUAAUUCCAGCUCCAAUAGCGUAUAUUAAAGUUGUUGCAGUUAAAAAGCUCGUAGUUGAAUUUCGGGGUUAGUAGGUUGGUCAUGCCUCUGGUAUGUACUGGUCUCACUGAUUCCUCCUUCCUUAUGAACCGUAAUGCCAUUAAUUUGGUGUUGCGGGGAAUUUGGACUGUUACUUUGAAAAAAUUAGAGUGUUUAAAGCAAGCUAACGCUUGAAUACAUUAGCAUGGGAUAAUGAAAUAGGACGUUCGAUCUUAUUUUGUUGGUUUCUAGGAUUGACGUAAUGAUUAAUAGGGAUAGUUGGGGGCAUUAGUAUUCAAUUGUCAGAGGUGAAAUUCUUGGAUUUAUUGAAGACUAACUACUGCGAAAGCAUUUGCCAAGGAUGUUUUCAUUAAUCAAGAACGAAAGUUAGGGGAUCGAAGACGAUCAGAUACCGUCGUAGUCUUAACCAUAAACUAUGCCGACUAGGGAUCGGAUGAUGUUAAUUUUUUAAUGACUCAUUCGGCGCCUUACGGGAAACCAAAGUGUUUGGGU